AGAGUUUGAUCCUGGCUCAGGACGAACGCUGGCGGCGGGCUUAACACAUGCAAGUCGAACGAGAAAGGGUCCUUCGGGACCUGAGUACAGUGGCGCACGGGUGAGUAACGCGUAGACAACCUACCCCCAGGUGGGGAAUAACUACGGGAAACCGUAGCUAAUACCGCAUAAUGUCAGAUGGCCGCAUGGCCGCCUGAUCAAAGCUUUAUGCGCCCGGGGAUGGGUCUGCGUUGGAUUAGCUAGUUGGUGAGGUAAUGGCUCACCAAGGCGACGAUCCAUAGCGGGUCUGAGAGGAUGAUCCGCCACACUGGCACUGAGACACGGGCCAGACUCCUACGGGAGGCAGCAGUGAGGAAUAUUGCGCAAUGGAGGCAACUCUGACGCAGCCACGCCGCGUGCAGGAAGACACCCCUCAGGGGCGUAAACUGCUUUUAUACGGGAAGAAUGCCCUGGUCGCCAGGGAGUGACGGUACCGUAUGAAUAAGGACCGGCUAACUCCGUGCCAGCAGCCGCGGUAAUACGGAGGGUCCAAGCGUUGUCCGGAAUCACUGGGUGUAAAGGGUGCGUAGGCGGGCUUGUAAGUCAGGGGUGAAAGCCACCGGCCUAACCGGUGAACUGCCCUUGAUACUGCAAGUCUUGAGUCUCGGAGAGGCUACCGGAAUUCGUGGUGUAGCGGUGAAAUGCGUAAAUAUCACGAGGAACACCAGAUGCGUAGGCGGGUAGCUGGACGAGUACUGACGCUCAGGCACGAAAGCGUGGGGAGCGAACAGGAUUAGAUACCCUGGUAGUCCACGCUGUAAACGAUGGAUGCUCGGCGUCACUCCGCUUUAGGAGUGGUGCCCAAGCUAACGCGUUAAGCAUCCCACCUGGGGAGUACGACCGCAAGGUUGAAACUCAAAGGAAUUGACGGGGGCCCGCACAAGCGGUGGAGCAUGUGGAUUAAUUCGAUGCAACGCGAAGAACCUUACCCAGGCUCGAACGCUAGGGGACAGGUCCUGAAAGGGACCCUUCUUCGGACGCCUAGUGAGGUGCUGCAUGGCUGUCGUCAGCUCGUGUCGUGAGAUGUUGGGUUAAGCCCCGCAACGAGCGCAACCCCUAUCGUUAGUUACCAGCGGGUCAUGCCGGGGACUCUAACGAGACUGCCUGCGCAAGCAGUGAGGAAGGUGGGG
rnacentral:rRNA from 1 species